rnacentral:lncRNA from 1 species
UUUUUUUUUUUUUGGUUUUUUUCCCACAGCAUAUGGAGAUAUGGAGGUUCCCAGCCCUAAAAAGCAAAAAAAUUAAAAUAAUUUUAAAAUAAAAAAAAUUUAAAAAUAGGAAAAGAAAGAGCCAGACCAAAGAUGAGAGCAUCAAGAGACACUUGGCACUGGAUCAGGCGGGGCACAGGAAGAUGAAUGGGGCAUCCUGCUGCUCUUUACUCCUCUGGUUGUAUCUCUCCCUACUUCUGUUUCAGUUUCUCUCCCAUCUGUCUCUGCCUUAGCUAUUAUCUCUUUCCCUAGUCUCUCAGUCUCUCUUUGCCUCCUGUCCUUUCAAUGGGCUUUCAUCCUAGUUCCACCUGGCAGCAGCCAAGAAUACCUAGGACUCCUAGGUUCUGCCACUCAGCGACCCCAUCUCAAUACUCUGGGCUCUUCUAUACUAGCUACAUUAGGAAGGAGUGGGUGUCCCUGCUCUAGCAGAGAUAGAGUAAGUUUGGUGGGGAGGGGGCUGGUUUGGUCGGCUGCAUGCAGGGUGGUGAUGUCCAUCACUGCUCUGUGCGAGAGGCUGCGUGUAGGAGAGUGAGGGGCUGGCAUGGCAGGGUGUGACGCUGGUCCUCUUCAUGCAAGACAAUACGUGCGCACACACAUGAUGAGCACAGGUGUCAGGGAAGUGAGGAAGUAGGCAACCAGGGCAGCCGGCAGCCUAGGGCAUCUCUGGCAAUUUCCCCAAUGGAGUGUUUAACCACAAAGGGAAGAGCAAUUAAAGCUAAUCGUUCUGACAGCCUGGAGGCCAGACACGGGGGAAACAAAACAAAUUCAGCAUGUUUCCCCUAACUCCCGGUGGUCUUGCCCCCAUCCUGCUUUCAUCCUCGCUAAUUUCUGAACUGCUCUGUCCUCCAUUCCCCAGCCCUCUCCCCGCUCUUCCUCUCCCUCUUCCCUGAUGGCAUCUCUGUCCCUCCGUGUCCCUCUCUUGAUAUCUAUCUCCCUUUCACACACAUUCCCCUCAUUCUCUCUCUCUGACUUGGGCUCCAUCCUUGGCUGACUCAUACUCAUUCUUCCCCCUCUCUGUUUCUUCCACCCCUUCCUCCAUCCUUUGGCCACUCACAUGCUCAGAAGCCAGCCACUCCCAGCACCCUAAGCUCCAACUGGACCCAGCAAGAGAGGCCACCAGCAGCCCCUUCCCUCCCUACUCACCCAAUUUCAGAGCACCAAGCUCACUCACCCUCAACAUCCUGUCUCUCUGUCCUCAAGUGUGACCGGGAUUUUCUACCUCUUUUCUCACUGCUUUAAAGAGGGGCCAUCCGAAGCCAAGGGCUCGGAGAAGAUGCUCAGAAAAUUAGGGUGGACCCGACGACAGUGGUUCCCACUUAGCUAGCUGUCCUAUUAGACUGAUGUUCUUCCAAGCAGUGGGAGUGAGGUGGGGGCUUGGAUGCGUAGUGCAGGGGCGUUUGUGAUUUGCUGUGUGCAGUCGAUGUGUGUAAGAGUCACAUGGGUGUGUGUCACCGUGU